ensembl:lncRNA
AAUCAUUUAAGAAAUAUGCACAGAUCAAGCACUAUUUACAAGCCAAAACUGCUCUAAACAAAUAUGUGGGUGGAUUUUGAUGUCAGAGGACAUCAGGGAAUGGACUUUUUCUCUGCAGGGAGCGCUAUUAUGGAAUGUGGACUAAUUUUUUGGGCUAGAAGUGACGGUUUAAACUCAUUGGAUUCUGACGGCACCCAUUCACUGCAGAGGAUCCACUGGUGAGCAAGUGAUGCGAUGCUGAAUUUCUCCAAAUCAGCUCUGAUGAAGAAACAAACUCUUCUAGAAACAAACUAAUCUACAUCUUUGAUGGCCUGAGGUGUCUGCAUUAUGGGGCUUUGAGCGCCACGGGACGGCUGUUCAUAUUGUGCUGAAAGG